GCCUGAGUGGCCGAGCGGUUCUAGGCGCUGCAGUUUGGAACCUCUGCGGUCGCAGGUUCGAAUCCUGCCUCGGGCA